rfam:Musca domestica strain aabys unplaced genomic scaffold Scaffold19114, whole genome shotgun sequence.
GCUGCGGUGUCCGAGUGGUUAAGGAGAUGGACUUGAAAUCCAUUGGGUUCUACCCGCACAGGUUCGAAUCCUGUCCGCAGCG